UACAGAGGGGGCAAGCGUUGUUCGGAAUUACUGGGCGUAAAGCGUGCGCAGGCGGUUCGCCAAGUCAGGUGUGAAAUCCCCGGGCUUAACCUGGGAAUUGCGCUUGAAACUAGCGGGCUUGAGUGUGGCAGAGGGGGGUGGAAUUCCACGUGUAGCAGUGAAAUGCGUAGAGAUGUGGAGGAACACCGAUGGCGAAGGCAGCCCCCUGGGCCAAUACUGACGCUCAUGCACGAAAGCGUGGGGAGCAAACAGG
rnacentral:rRNA from 1 species